CCAUUAACGUGAGCCUCGGACCCGGCGCAUUUUAACGAUUUGGCGAACGCACUACCUUGGCCCGUCCGGUACCUGAAAUUCGAAACAUUCAGGGAUUAGGGUUCGUCUGACUUACGCCACAGUGCUCACAAUACACCCAUCAAUAUGGGCCGUUGAUUCCAAGUGCCCACAGCACCGCUCGAAUCUGAUGGCCGUGCCUUGUUGGACCAACCAAAACUCCCCGGAUCAGAAGUAAGUGCAUGACCACAAUCGGACGGCUGAUAAUCGAGUAUGUGCUCUCGAUAACCCCGUGUCUCCUCCAGGCGCACAAUAGCUCAUAUCCGAUAUAAAGUCUAUCCUCCUCCAUGGAUGCGCAUUACUCACUCCUCCCCAAUCUCUCCUCCUGUUCAUCAAGUUUUCUAUGAAUUUUUUGAAAUCCUAGUUGCGUUCCUCAGAUUUCUCAGCUAUUUCUCUCUCACCUCUGAUCACAUUGACGCAGAUUUUCGAAUGAUCGUUUUAUUUUAUGGAAAAUCUUUCUCGGAAAGAUCGGAAUGAAGAAUUGGGACUUUUUAGGGUUUCAACUGAUCUGGAGAUAAAGCAUUUGUACUGGACUUCGUCGCUCCAGUGUGGCAUCUUCAGUUUCAUGUCUUGAAAGUGGAAGCAAUGUCUGAUUUAACAAGUAUAGUGAAAGAAACUUCUGAGAAUGGUACAGAUCUGUCUCCAGAUGAUAUUGGCUCCAUUGAGGAAAUGCCUGAGGACACAAUCUUGUCGCAACAAACUUCUGUGAACCUUGUCCCUUUUAUUGGCCAGAGAUUUGUUUCACAAGAUGCUGCUUAUGAAUUUUAUUGCAGCUUUGCAAAGCAAUGUGGCUUUUCAAUCAGACGCCAUCGAACUCGAGGAAAAGAUGGUGUAGGUAGGGGAAUUACUAGAAGGGAUUUUACUUGCCAUCGUGGUGGCUAUCCACAGCUGAAGCCAUCAGAUGAUGGAAAGCUGCAAAGGAACCGAAAAUCAUCACGUUGCGGGUGUCAGGCAUAUAUGAGAAUUGUUAAAAGGGCAGAUUUUGAUGUCCCUGAAUGGCGGAUUACUGGCUUUAGCAACAUCCACAACCAUGAACUCUUGAAAUCAAAUGAGGUGCAGCUACUUCCUGCCUACUGCACCAUGUCUGCUGAUGACAAGAGUCGAAUAUGCAUGUUUGCAAAAGCGGGGAUGUCAGUGCGACAAAUGUUAAGAUUAAUGGAGCUAGAGAAGGGUGUUAAGCUCGGCUGUUUACCAUUCACGGAAUUAGAUGUGAGAAACCUGUUACAGUCCUUUAGAAAUGUGGAUCGAGAUAAUGAUGCAAUUGAACUUCUUAAGAUGUGCAAGGAUAAGAAGGAUAAGGAUCCCAACUUCAAAUAUGACUUCAAGAUAGAUGCCAACAAUAGGUUGGAGCAUAUUGCCUGGUCAUAUGGUUCAUCUAUUCGAUCAUAUGAGGCUUUUGGAGAUACCAUAAUAUUUGACACAACCCACCGUUUGGAUGCAUAUGAUAUGCUUCUUGGGAUUUGGAUUGGAGUGGACAAUCAUGGAAUGAACUGUUUCUUUGGUUGUGUUUUCCUACAGGAUGAAAAUAUGCAGUCCUUUUCCUGGGCAUUAAAGACAUUCUUGGGUUUCAUGAACGGAAAGUCUCCACAAACAAUUUUAACUGACCAAAACAUGUGGCUCAAAGAAGCACUUGCUAUUGAAAUGCCAAAUACCAAACAUGCUUUUUGCAUUUGGCAUAUCAUUGCAAGGUUCUCAGAUUGGUUUUCUGCACCACUUGGGUCUCAAUAUGAUAAAUGGAAAGCUGAAUUCCAUCGGCUCUACGAGUUGUACUCAGUGGAGGAUUUUGAAGUAGGAUGGAGGAAGAUGGUUGAUACGUAUGGACUACAUGGAAAUCGACACAUUGUCAGUUUAUAUGCAUUACGUUCAUUUUGGGCGCUGCCAUUUUUGAGAAGUUCCUUCUUUGCUGGGAUGACAAGUACAUUUCAAUCAGAAUCUGUAACUGCUUAUAUCCAACGGUUUUUGAGUGCACAAUCUCAGAUUGAUAACUUUGUAGAGCAGGUGGCUGCUAUUGUUGAUUUUAAAGAUCAAACAGGGGCAAAACUAAAGAUGCAGCAGAAGGUCCAGAAGGUCUCCCUCAAAACGGGUUCUCCUAUUGAGUCCCAUGCUGCUACUGUGCUUACACCAUAUGCCUUCUGUAAAUUACAGGAGGAGCUUUUGUCAGCCCCAAAGUAUGCAUCUUUAAUGUUAGAUGAAAAUUAUUUCAUUGUGAGACACCAUACAGAAAUGGAUGGAGGGUGCAAAGUGCUUUGGGUCCCUCAUGAUGAGUUCAUUAGCUGUAGUUGCCAUGAGUUUGACUUUUCAGGCAUCCUUUGUAGACAUGUCCUUCGUGUUCUUUCAAUAAACAACUGUUUUCAUAUUCCAGACCGAUAUCUACCUGCCCGCUGGCGUGAUCUCUGCUCAUCUAUGACUAGGCCCUUCCAGGUGUCUACUUCAAGGGAACAUGGAGGGAAGAUCCAGUUAUUACAGUCCAUGGUUUCAACACUUAUUGCAGAAUCAGUGGAGACAGAGCAACGGCUUGAUGUUUCUUGUGAUCAAAUUUCCAUGGUGUUGUCUCGUAUCAAGGAAUUUCCUGGACCAGCACAUGGUGCUAAUGAUAUUUCAUACAAUAGCCCUUCUGACUCAUUGAUUCUUCCAGAAGUUGAAGAUUCUGAUAGUAUGAUUCACAGUUUUAAUGUGGGAAAUCCUCAUCAUUCUAUAACUCUGGGAAAGCUGAAAGAGAGAAGACAUAGAGAUGGGGUAGAUAUCUACAGGAAACGGAGACGUUGCUCUGUGCCUUGCUGUGGGCAGUUUGGACAUGAUGCAACUGAUUGUCCAAUGAUAGGAGGUGAUGAUUUGAAUGGAGAUGGGUUAGGAUUCUUGUAGGUAAAUUGCUGGAGCUUGUUAGAUGUAUAAAAGCAAUAGCUAUAUUGUGGCCUAUAUUCAUACAUCAUCAAUAUUAGAAAUUUUCUGUCUUUCCUGAAGCAAUCCUACUUUAUUCCCGAUUUUUCUCUUUUGCAGAAUGAUCUCUCUAACAUUCUAUUAACAUCAAUGAGAUCUUCCAUUAAGGAGAGUAGAACAGUUAUACCACACUCUGUUAGCCUUUUAAUGAUAUAUGGACUUCAGUAAGAAAAUACUGUGGCUUGUUUUGUAAGUAUGAAUCAAGGAAGCCAUUUCUGUAACUGAAUCAAAGAACUGAUUUCAAUCUCAUUUUAGAACAAACUAAAUUUCUUGCUUAGCCGGUCUUUAUCUGUGCAUCAUUAAUUACUUCUUGUGCAUUUUUAUAGUUGCCAAGUUUGCAUUUGGUUCAGUAUGAACUUGAUUAGUGUUCAUUGCUGUCUGGCUGAAUUGAGUUCAUGAAGUUAAUUGACCACUAGUUUGUUUACAGUACAUUCUGUCGUAGGCUGGGGAGCCAGUUUUCUAACUUUACAGCAGUUGAUUGUAAUAUCAUGAGGCUAAUUCAUCCAAUGUGUUUUCUUGGAUCUUCGCAGAGAAAAUGUGUUUUCUUGACCAUGUUACUUUGUGAUUCAUUUGCACUAGAUAAUUAUUUCACCUGAGAAAUUCGUUUCUACUCCAUUGUUGGGUUCAGUUAUAUGAGACCUUGAAUUCAUCGUUUUUUGGAUGAUGAAGUUGUAGAUGUAAUUAUUAUGUUAUGCGCUUCAAGUUGCUUUGGAUGAGAACCAUGAAGUCACAACGAGGGCAUGUAUUUGUUCUGGAUAAAUGAACUGAUUCUGAUAUUCCUCUAACCUAAUGUCAUAUAUAGCCUAUGUUAUGUCUAGUUCAAUUCCACUUUUUAUUGGCACAUUCCUAUGCAGGACAGUACUGUGAAUUGAUUUUUUGGCUUUGUUGUUCAGAGGCAGAGUUUUUAGUUGGAAGAAAGAAAAAAAAAGAUACAAACAUAGGUAUGCAGGAACAUUGACGAUAAUGUUUUCACCUGUUGAGGUAAUUGUCUGAUUAAAUUCAAGCUCGGGGAACUGCAAUCCCAAACACUUUUGGAUCUUAUUCAGGUUCAGGAUGGAACUGCUACUAGAUCUUGCAAGUUUGCAUGGCUCCAUGAAGCAAUAUGCAGGAAUCUCAUUUUGUCACACUCAUACAUACAGCCUAAAUUGUCUAUGAUUCUUCAGAUUGCUUGGUAGCCUUCUGAUAUUAUUGCUUCUGACUUUCCUGGAUAUACUAAGGUGGAAAUCUACUUCAUGCUGGAAAUUCCUUUUGAUUCUUUGCUGGAAAUUCCUACUUUCUUUGAUGUUUUCCUUGUUUGGCAAUCCUUCCAUGGAAUUGACUCGGUGACCCUGUCUUAGUAGACAUAGUUUUCUUUAUCAGAAAACAUUUAUUUUCAAAUGUUGAGAAAGCGUAUUGUGUGA